CCGUAGAGUACGGGCUCCGCCCGUACACUUCGAAUAAUAAUAACUCAAACAAGCGUGCACUCCCGCACCUCCUAACUUGCUUGAUGUGUAUUAUUAUUCGCUUUGAUCACCAAGUCAAUCCCCGAUUACACUAAAAUAUCUAACACUCGAAGGUGGGUGUUCGGAAAACGUGGUUGUGGUUAUGGUGCGUUGGCGAAUGUGCUCGGAAGUGGGUACUCAUGACGUCAAAUUGAAGGUUCAGAGAAAGAUUUAGAAACAUUCCUGAGAGUACAAAAGGGCUAAAGAGUUAUGGAAAUCCAUAGCCACAAUUAGUGUAAUACAGGAAUGUUGGGUUCACAAUUAUUAGAACAAAAUUCAUGCAAGUAGUAGAACGGGGUGGUGGUGGUGUCGGUGAUGAAGAUGUUAAUGGUGGUAACGGUUUGUUGCUGCGUUUCGUGUCAGUACUUGGUUCCUCUGUUGUGGUCAGGGUAGUGGUUCACGUGGCGCGCCUGCAUUUGCUCAUGCUGGAAACGUCGUACUGCCGAUGUCAGUCAUGCUCCUUAAUUUGUUACAGGCCUACAUGGCGCUUGAUGAAUGGUGACACGUUUGUCCUUUUUGUCGGAGGGAGCAUCUUUGGUGCCACGUUGCCAUAUUCCAGAAGCUUCUGGAUUCGCUUGCUGAUGUGUGCGCCUUGUAGGAUGGAAAAGUGGUGUGGUCCUUGCCAUGUAGGCAAGGGUUUGGGACCAUACCUCUUCAGGGUACUUUUGUCAUUUCACAUCAGAGAAAACUAACCCCCAUCCACGUCAGGGACUAUCCAGGAACGAAAUUACAAAAGUUGGGGACUAUAGUUGUAAUUUUAGAAAGUUAGGGACUAAAGGUGAAAAAUAGGCAAACCAUAGGGACUAUAAAUUUCACUGUUAUGAAACCAAAACGGUUAGAGGCUUUGAGCGACAUUUAUAAAACUUGGAGAUGCACCCAUGGAUAUUGUUGCAGGAUAAUUACGAUGGAUUUAUUCGCUUACUAGAUGUUGAAAAGGAGAGUUUUGAUCUAUUAUUAUACACAAGCGCAUAUCAAGUUUUUUCGAUAGAUAUGCAGACCGCAUGACAAUAUGAACUCGGGGAGAGUUAUGGAAGUGUUGGCAGUUUAGAUAUACGGUCUUCUUCGAAUCCUAAUUCAAUGUCAUGGGCCUUACAUGCAGAACAGAUUUACACCAUCGAUUUCAACUCGCAAAAUACAAAUUUAAUGGCUACCAGUUCAAAGAUGCAUCUGGGAUUUGAGAAAACUUGCCCAUCUUGAUCCUCAGCCCCGUUAGACACAAGGACGCUAUCAAUUCAGCCUAUUUUUCUCCUUCUGUGAACCUGCUAGCAACCACAAGUAAGGACAAUAACAUUGGGCUCAUAAGUGGAGCAAAUUAUGAAGUUGAGUCCAUGAUAUACCACUCCAACAAGACACCCAGAUUCAUCUCUUCAUUUAGAGGCAUAUGGGGAUGGGAUGAUGGUGGGGAAUAUGAAGAAGAAAGGGGUGGAUGUUAUAUGUGUAGAGGAGAAGAAACUUGCGUAUACUAUGGCUGAUCGGGAAAUCAACGCAAUCCCAUGCUCAUCCAAUGUUGCCUGGGGUGCUUACGGCUGGAGGUAUGGGACAUAUGAUUCAGUAACAUGGCUUUGAGUAUAAACUUCUUUGGAUGCAGUUUUAUGGGAACUUGAUUGUUGGACCCAAAUCUUUAUCAAUCAAUAAAUUAUUUAUUAGUGAUAUAUUGCUAUUAUUAUAAAUUCUUUAGUUUUUCUUUUCUUUCAGUUUGGAAAUAAAGACAUCAUUUUUUU